GAGGACGUGAAACCGAUGAGGUGGAAACGGACAGAGCUGGCGUAUCUGGUCUGCAUUCACCCGUUUGUUGUUGGGCGUUGGGCUUCCUGCUUCCAGACUGGGGUCGGUUGUCUUUCUGUUCAGCGGCUGAUGGGGCAUUUGCAGGCGGAGUGCGCUGAGAUGCUCGGGGUAGCUGCGUGAGCUUGGCUUUGAGGCCAGCCCUUCGGGGUCUGGUACCCGGGCCGGGGGAAUGCUGUUUGCUCUGGGUGAGAGUGUGCAAUGGUUUCGGGUCCGUGUUGGUUCGAGCUGAGGGUCGGUGGCGGUCGCAUGCGACACGUACCAGCAAUCAGUUCGGUCCAGCUCGGGCUCUCAUUUGUGCGUUCUCGGUGUAAAAGCCGGUUAUCUGUCCGACCCGUCUUGAAACACGGACCAAGGAGUUUAGCGUAUGCGCGAGUCAUUGGGUGUUGAAAACCCAAAGGCGUAAUGAAAGUGAAGGCAUCCUUGCGGAGCUGAUGUGUGAUCCCCGGCACUGCGGUGUUGGGGCGCAACAUAGUCCCGUCUCGAUCGCAUGCGAUGGGGCGGAGACAGAGCGUAUGCGCUGAGACCCGAAAGAUGGUGAACUAUUCCUGAGCAGGAUGAAGCCAGAGGAAACUCUGGUGGAAGUCCGAAGCGAUUCUGACGUGCAAAUCGAUCGUCUGACUUGGGUAUA
rnacentral:rRNA from 1 species